CUGGUUGAUUCUGCCAGUAGCAUAUGCUUGUCUCAAAGAUUAAGCCAUGCAUGUCUAAGUAUAAACUUCUUUAUACUGUGAAACUGCGUACAGCUCAUUAUAUCAGUUAUAAUUUAUUUGAUGGUACCUUACUACAUGGAUAACCGUAGUAAUUCUAGAGCUAAUACAUGCGUAAAGUCCCGACUCGCGAGGGGAGGGAUGUAUUUAUUAGAUAAAAAACCAAUGCGCCCUCUGGGUGAUUUGUGGUGAAUCAUAAUAACUUUUCGAAUCGCAUGGUCUCGUACCGGCGAUAGAUCAUUCAAAUUUCUGCCCUAUCAGCUUUCGACGGUAGUGUAGUGGACUACCGUGGCGUUAACGGGUAACGGAGAAUUAGGGUUCGAUUCCGGAGAGGGAGCCUGAGAAACGGCUACCACAUCCAAGGAAGGCAGCAGGCGCGUAAAUUACCCAAUCCUGACACGGGGAGGUAGUGACAAAAAAUAACAAUACCGGGCCUUCUAGGGUCUGGUAAUUGGAAUGAGUACAAUUUAAAUCCCUUAACGAGGAUCAACUGGAGGGCAAGUCUGGUGCCAGCAGCCGCGGUAAU
rnacentral:rRNA from 1 species